UACGUAGGGGGCGAGCGUUGUCCGGAAUCAUUGGGCGUAAAGAGCGUGUAGGCGGCUUGGUAAGUCCGCUGUGAAAGUCCAGGGCUCAACCCUGGAAAGCCGGUGGAAACUGUCAAGCUUGAGUCCGGAAGAGGCGAGUGGAAUUCCUGGUGUAGCGGUGAAAUGCGCAGAUAUCAGGAGGAACACCAAUGGCGAAGGCAGCUCGCUGGGACGGUACUGACGCUGAGACGCGAAAGCGUGGGGAGAAAACAGG
rnacentral:rRNA from 1 species